AACGCACAUUGCGCCCUCUGGUAUUCCGGGGGGCAUGCCUGUUCGAGCGUCAUUACAACCCUCAAGCUCUGCUUGGUGUUAGGCUCCACCUGCUAUAGGCGGGCCUUAAAAUCAGUGGCGGUGCCAUCUGGCUUCAAGCGUAGUAAUAUUUCUCGUUUGGGAGUACCGGUUGCGUACCUGCUAAAAAAACCCCAAUUUUUAAAGGUUGACCUCGGAUCAGGUAGGGAUACCCGCUGAACUUAA
rnacentral:misc_RNA from 1 species